GCCGGGAGAAGCUGAGGGGGCGGUAGCGGCGGCGGGGGCGACUCCCGCGCGUGUGCUCAGCUCCUCACGCCGCGGCCGGAGCCGCCUUCUUCCUCCUUCGCUCCUUCCCUUCCGCCCCCGAGUGCGGCGGCACCGCCUCCUUCCGCGCCGCGCGGCUUCCUCCAGACCUCUGGGCGCGGGUGAGCCCUAUUCCCAAAGGCAGCUGGUGCUGACCCUGUAACCCAAAAGAGGAAAUUGAAGGCUGGUGGCCACCAUGUCCUUGAAGAUCCAGACAAGCAACGUAACCAACAAGAAUGACCCCAAGUCUAUCAAUUCUCGAGUCUUCAUCGGAAACCUCAACACAGCUGUGGUGAAGAAGUCAGAUGUAGAGACCAUCUUCUCCAAGUAUGGCCGUGUAGCCGGCUGUUCUGUGCACAAAGGUUAUGCCUUUGUCCAGUAUGCCAACGAGCGUCAUGCCCGGGCAGCUGUGCUGGGAGAGAAUGGGCGGGUGCUGGCCGGGCAGACCCUGGAUAUCAACAUGGCUGGAGAGCCCAAGCCCAACAGACCCAAGGGACUAAAGAGAGCAGCAUCUGCCAUAUACAGUGGCUACAGCUUUGACUAUGAUUACUACCGGGACGACUUCUACGACAGGCUCUUCGACUAUCGGGGCCGCCUGUCACCUGUGCCAGUGCCCAGGGCAGUCCCUGUGAAGCGACCCCGGGUCACAGUCCCCUUGGUCCGGCGUGUCAAAACCACCAUACCUGUCAAGCUCUUUGCCCGCUCCACAGCCAUUACCACCAGCUCAGCCAAGAUCAAGUUAAAGAGCAGUGAACUGCAGACCAUCAAGACAGAGCUGACGCAGAUCAAGUCCAACAUCGAUGCUCUGCUGGGCCGCUUGGAGCAGAUUGCCGAGGAGCAGAAGGCCAACCCAGAUGGCAAGAAGAAGGGUGACAGCGGCAGUGCCAGUGCCAGUGGCAGUGGUGGGGGCAGUAGUGGUGGCAGCAGCCGGCCACCAGCCCCCCAAGAGGACACGGCUUCUGAGGCAGGCACGCCCCAGGGAGAAGCACAGGCUCGAGACGACGGCGAUGAGGAGGGGCUGCUGACACACAGCGAGGAAGAGCUGCCUGACAGGAGCAACGGCCAGCGGCAGGAGAAGGGCGUGCACUGUAUCAGGCCUCAUGUUGGGCACCCACCCCUGGAUACCACCCCCAGCGGGUCCCAGGAGAGCUGGCAGCAGGCACCUCCUCCCCCACACGUCCCAGCCACUGCCACAUCCUCUGCAGGUGCAGUUAUCGGCCUCCCCUCCCCAUGCACCCUCCCUGUUGGCACCGCCCAGGCCAGAGGACAGAGGUUUCCCUAUACUCUACCUCCCUUCCCAGGACACUCCCAGGCUUGGGGUUUUUCUAUAGGUUUGGAGAGGGGAGGGUCACGGGGAGGGUACCCUGACAAUAAAGAGAUUGGAUCCCAACUUGCUCUGAGAUGGGAUGGUUUGUAUUUAUUUUCUUAAGGUACCCUAGUCCUCCUGCCCAGCCAGAGUCUGGUCUAGUCUGCUUCAUGCCAAGAGUCUAGUCUGGUUUGCUUUACCCUGUUCUUUUUCCUCUUUCACUUCUCCCGGUUAGGGAGCAUUGUCUCGGGUGCAUACUGCUGGGCUGUCUAGGCCUUAGUUUCCACAGCUAAAAUGGAAAUAGAAAUGGCCAGUAGGGUUCUUGGGGGAGGGUCAGAUGUCCCAGUGCCCAAGAGAAUACUUUGGUGGCUGAAGUGCCAAGCAAUUAUGAGCUACUUGGUUAGGCAGUGGUAGGUUCAGGUCUUAGCUUCUCAUUUAGUCUGGUCUUUCCCAGCUUUAAGAUGAUUCUGGAAACUGCCUCAUCCUCUCUUCUCUGUCCUAGUUUAGGAUGCUGUGUUUUUUCACUUGGGCUCUGUCCUCUCACCAGCUUCCCAGUCUCUGGCUUCUCCCUGCCCCAUUUCCCACUAGCCACUAUGGUGCUUUUUCUGAGUCAUGUCCCUUCCCUGUAAAACCCUUACCUGACAGCUCACCGUUGGGACAAAACUCCCAACUCCUGUACAUGAUCCUGUAUACUUUGGCCUCUCCUGUCUUUUGUCACCUGCCCCACACAAAACAAGUCCUUCCCUCUCAUAGGCAGCAAGUCAUAGAGCCUCACUCCCAUUAACCUCAAGCAUUAGGAAGUUGGCAUCAGGAUACCUGUGGCUUCCCUGUACCUAUUCUGGGCUGCCUGUCUAGAUGUUUGCUUUGUUCUCUGACAACUGACAGUGUUCCUUCAAAUUUCCUCUUCUGUCCUAAUUUUACUCCACAAGUUGACGAAUUUCUCUGCGUUCAAAUUCCUAGGAGAGGAUCACCUGCCACAGCGGAUCUUUUUGAUUCACUCAUAGGUUAUAUAAGUACCCUCCCCAGUCCUGUGAACCUGGUGACAAAGGUGUGGUCAGUUAGUCUGGUCUCUCUGGUGUGGGACUUUGGUGGACAGACACCCAGAAACGUGCUUUGCUCCUGGUCUGGCAUGUACUCUUGCUCCUUUCUCCAUCUGAGAGAUACCCACUCAUUAUUAAGCUGCUGUUCCAGUGUCAGGCACCUCUGAGAAGUCUUUCUUCUCAGCUUACUGCUCUUCAAAAAUUGUUCAUUCUCUCUUCUAGACAAACUUUCCCAACACCGAGAAUUCGGUCCCAUCAUCAGAAAGGGGUUUGGGCUCUCCAGUCGUCUUUGCAUGUUCCUCAGAGUGUCAGGCCUGCUGGAAUUCUUGUUGAAAAUCCCAUUUCAGACCAACUGUUCUACAACAGUCUCCAUCAAACUUUCCCCAGACUUUGGCCCCGGGUUUUGGUGGAGGCUAGAGGCUGGGCUCGAGACAGUGCUCAAGCUAGGCCACCCUGGUGUGGAAUCACCCGGGGAAGUUUUUGUUGUCUCGUGUCUCCCUCCCUGGGCAGCCCCUCCUGCCUGUCAUUGGCCGGCUAGCAGUCUGAAGCCUGAGUGUGGCUCUGCAUUCCCAAGCUGUGCAGGGGCCUGAUUAACCCGCCCUUGAGGCAGCCCAAGUUCUGGACCCACAGCUGAGCCAAAUGCCCCCAUCCUCGCUUAGCCAUUGCCUCAUAAUGCGAUGUGGAGCAAAGUUUCUGCCUUUUUGGCGCUUCAGCUCCAGAAGUGGGCUCACAGUCCCCAUAUGUGUGCCUGUCAGGGACCCUGGGCAGCAGGGGGAGAGAGGGUAGAGGCUGAGGCCUUAGUGGACUUAACACUGAGGGCUGGCACCAUGUUCCUGAGUCUCCAGAGCCUACUGCUCUGUGCCCCUUGCACUGUAAUAACAUUUUUGGAUUCUAUAUGGCCAUACUCAAUAGUGACUGAGGCACUCACUUUUCAGGUUUGGGGUCAGGUAGAAUAGGAGGGGCUGUGAGCUUCUGUAGUAUGCUAGGCAGAAGAGCAGGGAAAAUCCCUUUCAGGGCAGGAAAUGUCUGCCCUACAAGGAGGCCCUGCCUAAUCACCCUAGCACCAGGACGUCCUGGACAGAUGGAGAUCCCCAUCCUGGCAUCCCACAAAAGGCCCUAAACUACUUAGCCCCUGGGAAGAUUUGAGUGGGAAAUUCACAUCCACAAAACCCUGCUGCAUACAUCUGCCCAGUCCUCUCUCAUUCCGUUGCUCAUCGGUUUUCAUUUAUCUGUUCAACCUCUGAAAACCAAAAGGAGAUGAUGAAGAAAUAGGAUACCAGAUUCUACCCAAAGGGCUAUGAUUCCAUAGAUAUUUUGAAGAUCUGAAGCCUCAUUUGUGAUCCUGGCAGCUGUUGAAGGAAUUAUCACAACCAGUGGUUUUACUGGCUUUCCUCCCUGUACUGCUGCCAAUAAAGUUUGUGAUGCAGGGCGAGUCUUCUUCCUUGCUAGGUCUCCCGUUUCCUCAUCUGUGCAAGGGGUUGGCCUAGAUCAGGGAUAGUAAAUGGGCCUCUUAUCAUCAGUUAACUUGUAUAACAAGCCCAAAAUGUAGUACUUUUAAUAAACAUUUAUUACCUUCUGAUUCAGUGGCUUGGAAAUUUGGGCUGCACUCAGCUGGGCAGUUCUCCUUAUCUCAUCUGGGCUAUGAUAUGGCUGAAGUGAGCUGGCAGAUUGGCUGGGGGGCCAUGGGUCCCAGAUAAUCUCACCCACUUGUUAAGGAGUUGGCUGGGCAGCAGGGCAAGUGGGCCACAUGUACCCAGAAUCUAGCAGGCAGACCAGGUAAGCUCCAGUGUACAAGUGCUCUUCCAAGUUCUUGCCCAUGGCAUGUUUGCGAGGUUCUUUUGGUCAAAGCAAGUCACAUGGCUAAGUCCAAACUCUUAAUUUGAGGAGUCUCAAAAUAUGGCCCAAUUUUGUUUUUAAUCUCUCUCAGGCCUCGUUUCAUGUGCUGACUCAGAAUGUUUUUAGUAGCAGCUGCUGGAAUGCUUUUUGAGGAUUUGGAGCAGUUUUUAGAUAGCUAGGAAAUAGUAACAUGAUGAUGUGGGGGUUUUUUUUGUUUUUUGCUUUUUUUUUUAUGGAUGGGGAGUUGAAAUGAGAGUACGUGAGUGUCCAUUCAGUAUUAGCCAGGCCUGGCCAGGUCAUCUCUAAUCCUAUCAGGACAUUAUACACUCUACAGUGGACCAUCUGACAAGACCACAGAAAUACGGAGUAUAAAGCUGGGCAAGAUUCUGAUAUAGGUUUCCUGGGUUUGAAUUCCAGUUCGACCAUUGAUUAACUUUGGGCAAAUAAAAAUCCCUAUAGCCAUGGCCACAUUCUUUAUAAUAAGAUUAUUCUAUAAUAACAGUAAAUAAAACUUGUGAAUAUGUGCUGUGUAAAAGGCACAUUUUACAUUUAUUUAAUCUUUGUAACCACCUUUUAGGUGGAUGUAAUAUGAACUUUGUUACAAGUUGUAGAAACUGGACUCAAAUGUGCUUAAGCAGGGGGAAGUUUACUGUUUCACCAAUUUAAAGUUCCAGAUACAGUUAUGCAGACCCAGUGGAUGUAGGGCUUCAAGAGCUGUCAUCAGGAAUGUAUUUCUUUAUUCUUCAGCUUGGUCUCCUCUCUUAGCAUUGUUCUCAGGUUCUAAGUGAUGGCAGAGCAUGGCCACAGGGCCUAUGAGUGUGGACAGGGAAAGGGAAGAAUCCCCAAAAGGAAAAUAGGAGUUCUGCUGCUAGAAGAAGGGAAGUUUGGCAUGACAAAAAUAACAGGUCUUCAUUGUGCAGUUAUGUCCAUCUUACAGAUUUUAUAGAUGCGGAGGUUCUAAAACUUAGCCCCAUUGACAGCUGGUAUUUCUGUCCUCUCCCCUUUAUCUGGACUCUAAUCAGUAGGAUACAGUGAUGGUGAUGCUAGGCCAGUCUCACAGUUGUGUUAAGAACUAGUAGUUUCUACUUCUGUGUCUUGAGACCCGGCCACCAUGCUGUGAAGCCCAGGCCACAUGGAGAAGCCUGACAUGACAGCCCUAAGUUCCAGCUGAUAACCAGUAUCAGCUGUCAGACAUGAAUGAGGAAGCCUUCAGGAUGACUCCAGCCCAGCCACUGACUGAGAACCAAGACAGAACUGCCUAGCUGAGGCCUGUCAAAGUCCAGCACCAUGAAGGAUAAUAAUCAGUGAUCAUCAUUUUAAGCUUAGUUUUAGAGUGAUUUGUUAUAUAUCAGUAGGUAAUCUGAACACAAACUGAGGCUCAAAAGGUUAAGUAGUUUGCUCUACUUUAGGGGGACUGGGCUAAGAGUAUAGACUUUGUGUAAUUGAGUUCCAGUGCAGGUUAUUUGCUGUAUACCUUAGACAAGUCAGUUAACCUCUCUGAGCCUCAUCUUCCUCAUCUGAAAAGUGGAAAAGAGCACACUGUUAUUAUGACAAUACCUAAUGAGUUCACUUAUCACCUAAUCCAGAUUUAGGUGAUUUUUCUCUUAAAAAAAAUAACAGACCAUAAUUUUCUUUUCUCUUAUUUUUAUAUUCACCCUUUCCCAAAGUGUAUUUCAGUAUGUAUGUAAUAUUUAAUUUCUAAAUAUUAGAUAUAAAGUUAAACAUUAAAUAGAAUAUUAUAAAAAGGAGACAAAGGAAGAUAAUAACAAGAAGGCUUUUCCCCCUACAUCUAAGAAUUACUGCAGUCAAGAGCAGUGUGUCCAUCUGGUCACUAAGCCUGUGGGGCAAGCCCAGCUGGCCCUCCUGCAUGUAUGGAUGGAUGGACACGAUACCUGCUUCCUCUGACUGGAACACUCAAGACACACUUUGGAGAUGGUGGUCUGGUUCCCCUCUCACAACCAAAACGUGGAUCUUGAUCAAAAACCCUCAGUUGCCUUUUGCUUUGUCACCCUACAGAAGGUUCCUUGCUGCUGAGCUGGUUAGUGUGAGAUCUCAUGCUCCAGCCACCCUCUCUCGUGUGAAGCUUUAUCUCCAGAGAAGUUGAGAAGAAAAAUGGCUGCCCAGCUGAAGCACCUACCAAUCUCCAGUUUCACAGGAUGAGACUAUAGAGCCCUCACUGGAGCCCAGGCAUAAACUGUUUUUGCUAAAUUCAUUUUAAGCACAGUUUUUAUAGAAAACUGAAGGACAAACCAAGUUGAAAGAAUCACUGUUAUAAUAACUUUAAUUUAUCUUGCAUUUUACAUAAGUCUAUGAACGAUUUUAAAAAAGCACCGCCUUACCCCAUCAUGUUUUUCUGACAGUUGUUAAAGUAGGCAAUGAGUAGGUCAACAGCUUGAGCAUCGGCAUCUUGCAAAGAUUUCAGACCAACCAGCCACAAGCCAAAAAACUUGGCAGCUUUUCUAUCUUGUAUUUAAUACAAUGAUAUAUCCACUUUGAUGGUAAACCUGUCCAGCCAAAUCUCCACAACACACUUUGAAAAUCAGUGGUGGUUAGCCAAUUAGUUAGCUUUGGCACGGAGCUGUGCUCGCUUGCCUGUGACAGCCUGAAAGCCGGUCUUGAUGCUGGCAACAGAGCAUCGAGAAUGACAAGUUUCGCACUGUAAGAAAUAGAGUCGGGUGUCCUUUUG